rnacentral:rRNA from 1 species
UUGCCAGCCCGCUCAGAAACUCAAAGGCAUUGACGGGGGCCCGCACAAGCGGUGGAGCACGUGGUUUAAUUCGAUGCAAACCGAAGAACCUUACCUGGGUUUGACAUGUAUGUUGACGUAUUCUGAAAGGGAUACUUCUUCGGACAAUAUACAAGGUGCUGCAUGGUUGUCGUCAGCUCGUGCCGUGAGGUGUCGGGUUAAGUCCCAUAACGAGCGCAACCCCUAUCAUUAGUUGCCAUCAGGUCAAGCUGGGGACUCUAAUGAAACUGCCUACGCAAGUAGUGAGGAAGGUGGGGAUGACGUCAAAUCAGCACGGCCCUUACGUCCAGGGCUACACACGUGCUACAAUGGCCGGUACAAAGGGCAGCUACCUGGUGACAGGAUGCUAAUCUCAAAAGCCGGUCUCAGUUCGGAUCGGAGUCUGCAACCCGACUCCGUGAAGCUAGAAUCGCUAGUAAUCGCGCAUCAGCCAUGGCGCGGUGAAUACGUUCCCGGGCCUU